rnacentral:rRNA from 1 species
CUGUGAGCUCGAUGAGUAGGGCGGGACACGUGGUAUCCUGUCUGAAUAUGGGGGGACCAUCCUCCAAGGCUAAAUACUCCUGACUGACCGAUAGUGAACCAGUACCGUGAGGGAAAGGCGAAAAGAACCCCGGCGAGGGGAGUGAAAAAGAACCUGAAACCGUGUACGUACAAGCAGUGGGAGCACGCUUCGGCGUGUGACUGCGUACCUUUUGUAUAAUGGGUCAGCGACUUAUAUUCUGUAGCAAGGUUAACCGAAUAGGGGAGCCGAAGGGAAACCGAGUCUUAACUGGGCGUUAAGUUGCAGGGUAUAGACCCGAAACCCGGUGAUCUAGCCAUGGGCAGGUUGAAGGUUGGGUAACACUAACUGGAGGACCGAACCGACUAAUGUUGAAAAAUUAGCGGAUGACUUGUGGCUGGGGGUGAAAGGCCAAUCAAACCGGGAGAUAGCUGGUUCUCCCCGAAAGCUAUUUAGGUAGCGCCUCGUGAAUUCAUCUCCGGGGGUAGAGCACUGUUUCGGCAAGGGGGUCAUCCCGACUUACCAACCCGAUGCAAACUGCGAAUACCGGAGAAUGUUAUCACGGGAGACACACGGCGGGUGCUAACGUCCGUCGUGAAGAGGGAAACAACCCAGACCGCCAGCUAAGGUCCCAAAGUCAUGGUUAAGUGGGAAACGAUGUGGGAAGGCCCAGACAGCCAGGAUGUUGGCUUAGAAGCAGCCAUCAUUUAAAGAAAGCGUAAUAGCUCACUGGUCGAGUCGGCCUGCGCGGAAGAUGUAACGGGGCUAAACCAUGCACCGAAGCUGCGGCAGCGACGCUUAUGCGUUGUUGGGUAGGGGAGCGUUCUGUAAGCCUGUGAAGGUGUACUGUGAGGUAUGCUGGAGGUAUCAGAAGUGCGAAUGCUGACAUAAGUAACGAUAAAGCGGGUGAAAAGCCCGCUCGCCGGAAGACCAAGGGUUCCUGUCCAACGUUAAUCGGGGCAGGGUGAGUCGACCCCUAAGGCGAGGCCGAAAGGCGUAGUCGAUGGGAAACAGGUUAAUAUUCCUGUACUUGGUGUUACUGCGAAGGGGGGACGGAGAAGGCUAUGUUGGCCGGGCGACGGUUGUCCCGGUUUAAGCGUGUAGGCUGGUUUUCCAGGCAAAUCCGGAAAAUCAAGGCUGAGGCGUGAUGACGAGGCACUACGGUGCUGAAGCAACAAAUGCCCUGCUUCCAGGAAAAGCCUCUAAGCAUCAGGUAACAUCAAAUCGUACCCCAAACCGACACAGGUGGUCAGGUAGAGAAUACCAAGGCGCUUGAGAGAACUCGGGUGAAGGAACUAGGCAAAAUGGUGCCGUAACUUCGGGAGAAGGCACGCUGAUAUGUAGGUGAAGCGACUUGCUCGUGGAGCUGAAAUCAGUCGAAGAUACCAGCUGGCUGCAACUGUUUAUUAAAAACACAGCACUGUGCAAACACGAAAGUGGACGUAUACGGUGUGACGCCUGCCCGGUGCCGGAAGGUUAAUUGAUGGGGUCAGCGCAAGCGAAGCUCUUGAUCGAAGCCCCGGUAAACGGCGGCCGUAACUAUAACGGUCCUAAGGUAGCGAAAUUCCUUGUCGGGUAAGUUCCGACCUGCACGAAUGGCGUAAUGAUGGCCAGGCUGUCUCCACCCGAGACUCAGUGAAAUUGAACUCGCUGUGAAGAUGCAGUGUACCCGCGGCAAGACGGAAAGACCCCGUGAACCUUUACUAUAGCUUGACACUGAACAUUGAGCCUUGAUGUGUAGGAUAGGUGGGAGGCUUUGAAGUGUGGACGCCAGUCUGCAUGGAGCCGACCUUGAAAUACCACCCUUUAAUGUUUGAUGUUCUAACGUUGGCCCCUGAUCGGGGUUGCGGACAGUGUCUGGUGGGUAGUUUGACUGGGGCGGUCUCCUCCUAAAGAGUAACGGAGGAGCACGAAGGUUGGCUAAUCCUGGUCGGACAUCAGGAGGUUAGUGCAAUGGCAUAAGCCAGCUUGACUGCGAGCGUGACGGCGCGAGCAGGUGCGAAAGCAGGUCAUAGUGAUCCGGUGGUUCUGAAUGGAAGGGCCAUCGCUCAACGGAUAAAAGGUACUCCGGGGAUAACAGGCUGAUACCGCCCAAGAGUUCAUAUCGACGGCGGUGUUUGGCACCUCGAUGUCGGCUCAUCACAUCCUGGGGCUGAAGUAGGUCCCAAGGGUAUGGCUGUUCGCCAUUUAAAGUGGUACGCGAGCUGGGUUUAGAACGUCGUGAGACAGUUCGGUCCCUAUCUGCCGUGGGCGCUGGAGAACUGAGGGGGGCUGCUCCUAGUACGAGAGGACCGGAGUGGACGCAUCACUGGUGUUCGGGUUGUCAUGCCAAUGGCACUGCCCGGUAGCUAAAUGCGGAAGAGAUAAGUGCUGAAAGCAUCUAAGCACGAAACUUGCCCCGAGAUGAGUUCUCCCUGACUCCCUGAGAGUCCUGAAGGAACGUUGAAGACGACGACGUUGAUAGGCCGGGUGUGUAAGCGCAGCGAUGCGUUGAGCUAACCGGUACUAAUGAACCGUGAGGCUUAACCUU